UACUUAAAAAGCCAGCUAAUUUUAAAAGAUUCCUUCGUUUGCAAAAUAGUUUUAACACAAACUAGUGAAUUGAGAUGACUAGAAACGUGAAAUCUAGUAGAUUUGCGUGUAAGAAACAAUUGAAAAUGAAUAUUGUGUUAACUGUUAUAUUGUUUUCCUUUUUGCAAAAUGAAGUUAGAACGUUUUGGGAGAAUGACAUGAA
rnacentral:lncRNA from 1 species